GAACGCAUAUUGCGCUCUUUGGUAUUCCGAAGAGCAUGCUUGUUUGAGUAUCAGUAAACACCUCAACCUCUCUUUUUUGAUAAAAAAAAGGGAGGGUGGACUUGAGCUAUCCCAACGACCUUCACCGGUAGGCGGGCGGCUUGAAAUGCAGGUGCAGCUGGACUUUUAUCUGAGCUAAAAGCAUAUCUAUUUAGUCCUCGUCAAACAGGAUUAUUACUUUUGCUGCAGCUAACAUAAAGGAUAAUUGUCCUCUUUGCUGACUGAUGCAGGAUUUUACGACACUUUAUGUGUUGUUCAACUCGAUCUCAAAUCAAGUAAGACUACCCGCUGAACUUAAG
rnacentral:misc_RNA from 1 species